rnacentral:tRNA from 2 species
GCGGGUGUCGUAUAACGGUUAUUAUAUUUUCUUGCCAAGAAAAAGAAGAGGGUUCGACUCCCUUCACCCGCUCCA